rnacentral:rRNA from 1 species
AUGAACGGCGGCGGCGGCGGCGACGGCGGGAGGAGCAGGGAGCUGGAGAGGCUGCGGGCGGAGAGGGACGAGCUAGACGCCCGCAUACGGCUGCUAGAGUCGGAGCUCGAGGCCGGCUCCGCCGCUCCGGUCUCUCCCGAGGCGGGGGUGGGAGACGGCGGGUGCGUCGGCGGUGGCGGCGCGUGCCAGGCGCGCCCUGGGCUGGCGCAUGCCGAUUCCCUCCCGGCCGACAUGAUCUACCGGUACAGCCGCCACCUCCUCCUCCCGGACUUCGGGGUCGAAGGCCAGCGGAAGCUCUCCCGGUCAUCGAUUCUGGUGGUCGGCGCCGGAGGAUUGGGCUCGCCCGUGGCGCUGUAUCUAGCAGCUUGCGGUGUUGGGGUCUUGGGCAUUGUCGAUGGUGAUGAUGUUGAGCUUAACAACCUUCAUCGACAGAUAAUCCACCAAGAAGCAUACAUUGGAAGAUCGAAAGUGAAGUCAGCAGCUGAUACUUGCCGCGCGAUUAAUUCAUCUAUCAAGGUGGUAGAACAUCAUCAUACUUUGAAGCCAAGCAACGCUUUGGAGGUUGUGAGGAAAUAUGACAUAGUUGUUGAUGCAACUGACAACCUUCCUACGCGGUACAUGAUCAGUGAUUGUUGUGUAUUGCUAAACAAGCCUCUUAUAUCUGGUGCAGCAUUAGGUUUAGAAGGACAGUUGACUGUUUAUCAUCAUAACGGAAGCCCAUGCUACCGGUGUCUUUUCCCAAAUCCACCACCAGUGGCAGCUUGCCAGAGAUGCUCAGACAGCGGUGUUCUUGGGGUUGUUCCGGGAGUGAUUGGCUGCCUGCAAGCCCUAGAGGCUAUAAAGGUUGCAAGUGAUGUUGGUGAACCUCUAAGUGGAAGAAUGCUGCUCUUUGACGCGCUAUCUGCUCGUAUUCGAAUUGUUAAGAUUCGAGGAAGCUCGCCUACUUGUACCAUUUGUGCAGAAAAUUCAGUUUUCACGCAAGAAGAUUUUCAGAAGUUUGAUUAUGAGACCUUCACACAAUCCCCAAUGUCUGACAAGACGGCACCGACCCUGAACCUGCUACCAGAAAGUGCCCGCAUCACUUGUACAGAGUACAAAGGGCUGAUCGACAAGGGGGAACCUCACGUGCUGUUGGAUGUACGGCCUGCUCAUCAUUUCCAAAUAGUUUCACUUUCCCGGUCUCUGAACAUACCACUCUCCGUUCUGGAGGAGAAGCUGCCUAUGCUCGAGACCUCAAUGAAGGAAACUAUGGAUGCCUCCGCCGCCUCAGAUAAACAGCCUUCCUUGUACGUCGUCUGCAGAAGAGGCAACGACUCACAGAGCGCUGUCCAGCUUCUCCGCGAGAAGGGCUUUCACUCCGCCAAGGACAUAGUCGGUGGCCUGCAGUCUUGGGCACAUGACGUCGAUCCUGAUUUCCCCGCAUACUAG